GGAGGGUCUGGAACGGGUUGCAUUCAGGGCCGGAUUUCGGUUUGAUGAGGCCCUAAGCUACUGAAGGUAAUGGGGCCCUUUACAGUGGUACCUCAGGUUAAGUACUUAAUUCAUUCCGGAGAUCCGUUCUUAACCUGAAACUGUUCUUAAUCUAAAGCACCACUAAUGGGGCCUCCUGCUGCCACCAUGCCGCCAGAGCACGAUUUCUGUUCUCAUCCUGAAGCAAAGUUCUUAACCUGAGGUAAUAUUUCUGGGUUAGUGGAGUCUGUAACCUGAAGCCUAUGUAACCUGAAGCGUAUGUAACCCGAGGUACCACUGUAUAUGUACAGCUGUCCUUUGUCAACAACAAAUUGUUGCUGUUUUUUUGUGUUGAAUAUAUGCUAUAUGGCUAUUUAGGGACCCAAUAGGUAUCUAAAGCCAUUUGCCCAUGUUGCCAUGCAACUAGUCCAUGCAGAAUGUAGGCUCCCUAUAUAUAGAAAUGAGCAAACCAGUGAUAUUUUAGGGAGCAGGCUAGCAGGCGGGGCCCAUGACUUACACCAUAGGAGCCUACACAACACAAAACACUGCUGCUGUAUGUAGGUGUUAUUUUUUUGUUUUUUAUCUUAUAUAUUAGAAAUGUACAUCCAGGUAUUUUUUCUUUAAUUUUUUCCGGGGGUGGGGCAAGAGAGUGGGGCCCUAAGCUAUAGCUUGUUUAGCUUAUACGUAAAUCUGGCACUGGUUGCAUUCACUCUGGGUUUAAAAGCCCUGUUGAAUUGAACACAUUUUGUGGGGAGAGAUUUGCUGAGGUUUAGGUUGUUGAGGCCUUGUUCUUAAUCCUUACGGAUUCUUGACUCCAUCAACAGUUACGGCUCUAUAGGAAACGAGGUCCAAAUGUUAUACUUGCCUCAUGACGUACAGAGUUUCCACGUGGUGUUUGCUAGGUUGCAGUGUCUAUCACGUGCAGGUGGCUUGCUGAGGCUCCGAUUUUCCGUUUCAGAAAUUCCCUCAUAACUUGGCACUUUUUCCUGUUUGUGUGAAAUUAGGCAGACGAACCUUAAUACAAGUAGAGAGUAGAUAAAAAUACACCCACUAAAGAGGAAUGGGUAGUCAAAUUGUGCGAGUACUUGGAGCUCGCAAAGCUGACAGAUGCAAUAAGAGAUAAACCUAAAAAACUGGUGAAAGAAGAAUGGGAAUGUUUAAAUAAUUAUUUAGGGGACAAGGGCUCAACAAGAAAGAUCUGGCUAUGUUUAGAAUGAUACCACAUAGAGAAAUGUUCCCUGAUACCAAGAUGAGGGAUUCCUUUGGAAUGCAGAUAGAGAUAAUUGAUAAGAAUAAUUAUCUGUUGUGAGCUUGAAGGAAGUGUACAAUAGAUGAGCUUUACUGCUUUGGCCCAUCUUCCUUUUUCUUUUUCUCUCCCCCCCCCCCCUAUUUUUCUUUUUUCUUUUCUUUUAUAUUUCCCAUAGUUGCUUAUGUUCUGUGUCAUGUACUUCGAUAUUUUUUGUAGUUUUUUGUAGUUUUUUUCAUUAUUAUUAAGGAAUUUUCCUUUGUAAUUUUGGUUGUCUAUAUUUAUAUGUACCUGUUUAAAGCAAAAUAAAAGUUAAAAAAACAAGUAGAGAGCCUCUUCCUUCGCCCAAUUUCAAGUAAUUCCCCUUCCCAACUAUCGGGGCAGACUUUGGUACUCUUUCAUAAUAUGUUAUUUAUUUAUUUGUUUGUUUGUUUAUACUUUUCAAAUUUAUAUAUUUCAUUCGUUUUACAAUCCAUUUAUCAUUUCAAAAUUUGACUUUCUUCCCCCUCUUUCUGCGGUUCCUUAAAUUUAUUUUUUAAUAUCUUCUGGACAUCCAAUUCACUUAACUUGCUCAUUUAGUUAUCUACUAUAAAUAUAUACUCUUAUAAAACUGCAGGUUAUUACAAUAAUCCUGCUAAUGUUUUUAUCUGUUUGCAGUUUAUCUCUAAACAUUCAAUAAACCAUUUCCAUUCUUUUGUUAAAAGUUUGUUAUCUUGAUUUCUUAUUCUUCCGGUAAGUUUCGCCAUUUCUGCAUAGUCCAUAAAUUUUUGUAUCCAUUCUUCCUUUACUGGGACUUCUUCUUCUAUCCAUUGUGGGGCAAGUAACAUUCUUGCUGCAGUAGUAGCAUACAUAAAUAAAUUUCUAUAUAAUUUAUAUAUAAUUCCCAAAAGAAAACCUUCUGGUUGUUGUUGGGUUUUCUUUGGUUUUUUGGUAAAAGUUAUUUUGAAUAUCCUUUUCAAUUCAUUAUAUAUCAUUUCCCAGCAAGCUUUAGUCUUACUACAAGACCACCACAAAUGAUAAAAAGAACCUUCUUUCUCUUUACAUUUGCAACAUUUGUUUGAUUUAGAUUUACCGUAUUUUUUGCUCUAUAUGACUCACUUUUUCCCUCCUAAAAAGUAAGGGGCAAUGUGUGUGCGUCUUAUGGAGCGAAUACAGGCUGCGCAGCUAUCCCAGAAGCCAGAACAGAAGGGGGGUUGCUGCUUUCACUGCACAGCGAUCCCUCUUGCUGUUCUGGCUUCUGAGAUUCAGAAUAUUUUUUUUUCUUGCUUUCCUCCUCCAAAAACUAGGUGCGUCUUGUGGUCUGGUGCGUCUUAUAGAGCGAAAACAUUUCUGCCAGUUUACUUGGUGUUACUCUUUCAUAAUAUGGCAGCCUUUGCACAGCCAAAAUUUGGCACCCUGAAACAGAUCUUCUCAGUCACAACAAUUACAGUAUAGUGGCAAUCUAACCAAGAAUUGGCUGGGUACCUAUUCUACAUACAGUCUAAUGAGCAUUAUAGUUCAUUAUAGUUCAGGCCCUCUUCAAAUGGUAAACUGGCCUUUGCUGUUGGGAUCUGCCAUUCUAAAAGGUCCAAUAUAAAUCCUUUGAUAUUUGCAACUGCAGGUUUCAAGGUACCUGACUUGUUUUAUUUAUGCAACGUGUUUAUUAUGUGGGGAAAUGGUGAUGCCCCACCUCUUGAGGUUAAACAUUCAGACAUUAAAUCACAGAGCACACGGCAAAAGAUCUGAAAGAAGGUGCUUUGAAAGUGGAAGCCACUCAGAAGACAACUGCAACCCCCCAACUUUCCCAUCCCUACAGCAAAUCAAGGCCUUGUAAUUGGAAAUAAAUAAAGGUUUUGUAACUUUAAUGAAGGAUGGGCUGAACCUUCAAAAGCAAGUUAGUUUUCUAGGUGUGAGGAAUCUGGCUAGAAUUAUAAUAAUUAUUAUGAUGUGCUCCAAUCCCUUAUAUUUAGGAGUGUCAUGAAAGAGGCCAUCUAGUUUCUACAAUGGUAAGGAAGCUUGAGGGAAUUGGGUUUAGAAACGAAUGAAUAGGACCCUCAAUGGGAUAGAUCAGUGCUGAGCUCUAAAGAGAAGCAUCUCGGUGGAGCACUUUAAGUUGUCAGCUCUGCAGUGUGUAUCAUCAGUUCAGGUGCUGGUAAACAGAGGUGAUGUAAGGUUGGAGAAUCCAUUAAGUUUUAAUGGAAGCAUUAUAGGAAGCAGAAAGGAGACGGACAGCUUCCAUUUCCUUUCCUUUCUUGGAACUCUCGUUCACCUCAGAACGGCUCUUAAACCUGAGUCAUAGCUGUGUGGGAAUGGUCUCUGCAUGGCUGCUUCUCCCAUAACACCCCAGUAAUAUACCUUCUAUUAGGGGAAAUGGCUUGCAAAAUAUGCACAUAUUAAUAAAAUAAAUGUAUCAGGAGAAAUUCACACUAAAAUGCUGUGGGAUUUUCGUGAGGAUUAUUAUUAUUUUUUUAACAUCCGCAGUGCUGCAGAAAUGUGGAGAAUUGAAUUUAAGAUUAGAAAAACAAGGGACUGAGAGAAAUAAAAACCGGCCUAUUUGUCCUUUCCUAGCAACAUGAUAAUGACCUCCUGUGGACAGAUGUUUCACAGCUGGCGCCCUGCAUAACCACAACCUGCCUGAGACUCUGCCUUUUGCCUGACCUGGGUACCAGAAUUUUGAAAUAAAAAGUCCAUCCUGUCAACCGUCCUGGGGAAAAAACGAGGCAGUUUUUUCUCGCGAGAGGACAGCUGCCAAAAUGGCCGCCACAAUUUUGCACGAUUUCGGGCUGUGCUUUUUUUGAGCGUGGCGUUCAAAAACACACAUUUUGAGGUACGAAAGUCAGGAACUCUUGUUGAGCCACAGAGGGCUGUAAAGGUACCAGCAAUUCUGAGAAAACCCAAAAGAAUUAAAAAAAGAAAAUGUGUGAGAGUCUCCUGGAGUGAAGGAUGACACCUCCUUAUGCCAUCCUCCUAUCCAAUAUUAAAAGGAUUUGUUAGUUAGCCAACACUUCAUAGUGCAAAUGUAAAGAGGCUUGAUUUAUUGAUAUAGGACCAUCUCUGUGCAUGGCACUUAAAUUCUUAAGAAACAGCAGAUGAAGAAGGGAGAGCAAUGGAAGGGAAGAUGCUUAUACUGUUGGCUUCUAAUUCCCUCUGAUUUCACAAUAGGAGAAAGUUAAGCAUUGACGUCAAUGGGACUCAGUACUGGCCACUUUGUUAAAAUCCUGUUUUUCUCACAAUGUAACUUGCAGUAAACAACUCACCAUAAGUCAAACAGGUCUUACUGCUUAAAUGCAUUGGAACUUUUAAUAUUAUUCUGCUGAUAGUGAUCUGCUCAGCACAUUUCUUCUUUUAGCGGUGAGUGUCAACCAUUUCCUGCUGUUUGAAAUGUCUCCGGGAGUUUAAAAUUAAUGUGAGAACUUUCCCCCAGGGCUGUGUAAAUGCUACCAUUUUGCAGGAGUGCAAAAUGUGGUCCUGGAUGGAGAUUUUGGCUUCCUUGGAAUUUCAGCUUUCAUUUCUUUUUAGAAAGGCAAGAUCUAGACCUUUUGCUGUGAAGAUAUAUAACGUAUUUUUCGCUCCAUAGGGUGCACCGGACCAUAGGGCGCACCUAGUUUUUUUUUUUGGGGGGGGGAAUAAAGAAAAAAAUUUUAUUCGGAGCACUCCGAAGGCUUGCAGAUAGCUGCCUGAAGCCUGGAGAGCAAGAGGGGUUGGUGCGCACCGACCCCUCUCACUCUCCAGGCUUCAGCGAAAGCCUGCAUUCGCUCCAUAGGAUGCACACACAUUUCCCCUUCAUUUUUGGAGGGGAAAAAGUGCGUCCUAUAAAGCGAAAAAUAAGGUACUUGAAGGUGUGGAUGUGUUACAUACUGUAAUCAGAGCCGUCUUUCCUAUUGGGCUUACAGGCACCUUGCGCCAGCGCGCUGGCCUCUCAGGGGCACCUCAACGAGUGGGGGAGCUGCGUGGCUUUGCCGGCGGCCUCCCCUUUCCCUGCACGCCCACCAGCUGUGCCCCGCCAACUAUACGGCUGGUGGGCGUGCAGUUUCGUUCCCAAGCCCCUGCGGGAGGAGAGCGAUCCCCAAGGUUGACAACUCUGGGGAAGGGGGGUGGCACCAGAGGGAUCCUUGCACCACGGUGCCAGAGAUGCUUAAGACGGCCCUGACUGUAAUCUCAGAAACCAGAGAUAUAGCCAAGUAACAUUUCCAGGGGUUGUGAAUCUGGCAUGCUUCCUGCCAUAGCUAGUAUAACCAGCAUAAAUUAUGCACAUCAACAGUUUGUUGUUUUUUAUAGCAGAACAAUUUAACCUAACAUGGAAUCAUGCAAAUUUGCUUCAAAUGUAAAGCACGUACGUAGCCUUAAAAAUGAGAGUGAUGCAGAGCUCUUUGUGUUGUCAGGCUGUAAUUAUUAUGUCUGUCUUAUUUCGGAAUAUUGUCACUAUCACUAAUGCAACAGAGCCUUAAGGAAGGAAUAAAUUAAGGGAGUGUUGUAGCCUGUCCUGUGAGACAUGGGAGUGAGCCAGCCAAACCCCUCCUGUCAUCUUCACUGUUGCCACCAAGUAGAUGUCUUUAUUUCCUAUGCCUCCAUUGAAACAGUGCCGAAACCUCCAUAUUUUUGUCCUUUCCUAAGGGCUUCCAUCCUGAUGCCCAACAUGGCUGUUUGGUCCGAGCAGCUCGCCACAAGAGAUGCCGUAACCCAGAUGGAAUUCCUAUUGAGCAACCAAACAGCGCAAGAGCCUAGUGCUCAAUGUUUGCUGUGGAUGAGCAACAAGCGGGAGGUGCUGUCAUCAUCAUCAUCAUCAUCAUCAUCCUUUUUAUUCGACCGUCAGUCAGAAAAAAGUACAUUUUAUCAAUACACAGUUAAAAACAUCCAGGAAGAUUUUAAAACUUAGCCAACA